GGCUGUUGAGUUAACUUGAGCUCCUUGUGGCCGUCCAGGCGGCACUGUCUGCCACAGGAGUUACGGGACCGCGCUUUCGUAAUUUCCUAAGUUUCUGAGGAGAUGAGAGGGUCGAGACUGUCCGGGUAAGCAGAAUGAAGACCAAAAGACAUUCAGAAAGGAGAACAGACAAAAGAGAAGUGAUAGUGAACAAGUGCUAGAAAUACAAGACAGAAACAAGAUUUGGGAAAAGUUUGGGACAGAUGCAAUCUAUCAUUUGAUAAAUAAUGUCAAGUGAUCCAAAAGUCUCUGGAGUCCUCUGUGUGACCUUCGAGGACCCAUCAACCUGAAAACAGAACAGGAUGCAGGUGUUUCUACUGUGGAUGCCAUAGUGAGGCCUUGGAACUGACUGUCCUCACUCCUGUUCCCUGUGGAGAAUCCCAGGAUCUAACCAGCCCCAUGGUCAAAUGGAUAGGGAGAAAAGAACUUGCUGACCCAUCCCUCUCUUUCUUCCUGACCUGAUGUGGAUAUAUGGCCUGGUCCUGUGGCUGCCACCAUGUGACAUGAGAUACUGGAUUAGAGAUCAGGAUUAAAGAAGAAUCUUGAGAUGUCAUCAAAACAGAAGUAACCACUGAGAAGAAAGAGAGCAGGAAGUAAGAACUGCGACUGGAGAAAUGCCCACAACUACAGAGAAAGCUGGGAAGAGGAGCCGCUGUGUGAACAAUUG